GUCACAGCCGCCAUUACGGGAGUUGUAAAGUUUCGCGGGAAAGUUAUGACUUCUGCUACUGAACAGAGUCGCUGUGAGCUGCUUGGUCGUGUUCUACCUGGUCGUGUUCUACCUGCUGGAACUCAUGGAACGGAGCUGGAAUCCUGACAGGUCCUAGAUGGCGGCUUUUCAUGAGGACUCUGUGUGUUUAUACAAGGACUUGAGUCAACUCCGGGCCUACCCUGGUAGAGUAGCUGCGACCACCACAGGCUUUGAUCAAGCAGUACUACGUCCAAGCUUGGCCACGUCUUUGCCUCAACACGCUUAGAUACUCCACUGAAGUGAGCGCAAAUAUUCUGCCUUGAAGAAACAUCGUCCUCAAACUCUACAUCAGCAGGUGCUUGGACGAAGAUGUUACAUAUAUCUGCUUGUUGGAGAAACCCUGAAGCCUACAUGCGAUAAAACUGUUCUAUGUCUCUGCUUCAAAACUAGAUAAGCAAGUCCUGCGAUGAACCAGUUCCAUAUCUGUACCUCAGGGGGUCCUUGAGAGGGAGCUGUUCCGUGUCUGUGCCUCGGAUCUUUACAUCAGGGGUGCUUUAAAGGAAGCUGUUCCUUGUCUGUGCCUUGAAGUAGCCUUUAAGAUGACUUUAUUGCCAACCCGGAGUCACAGUAUUGUAUAUACCAUUUGUUGUUAGGGUAUUGUACCCCAACUGAGGAUAGCCGUGCGAAAAAAUAUGGACAACUAUUCUGAAACAAGUGGACUAGUCUGUCAUGCAGAAGUUCGAUACAGCCAUCAACAGAACAAUGCAUGUUCGGAGAGUUUAAAAUCAUCUUAUUGGCGAGGAAUGGUAACUUUUCAGAGAGUGAGCCUUGAGGAGAGAGGGCUGCUGCAGGAGGCUGUGGAAGCCUCAACACGGCUGACUGGCAGCCUUGAGCAAGGAAGGGGAGGCAACUGCUUCUGGUGAUGGGGAUUCCAUUGGAGAUGUUCCUGAGCCAAGACAUGAACUGAGCUGCCACAUGGAGUGAGUGUCGUGAUUCAGCCCCUGUGUGAAUGGAGGCAGUGGGGCAUGACUGGCUACACAGGUUUGCUUCAUGGCUGAAUACAGCACUGCUCAGAUUACCACCGGCCCCAGGCUGUAGGACAUGUUCUCACAGGGGUGGACUGGGAGGCAAGAGUUGAGCUGAGACACAUGUAGAGGCCUGUUACCAGUUUUAGAAACUGGUGCCUGUCCUGUCCGGCAGCAGGAGCCAGGGGGAUCUGUGGGUACAUCUAGCAGGUGCCCUCUACCUGCUGUCUGUCCCAUGUCCAAGGUAACAUAGCUACAGAACACAGACAGCCUGAGAGAGUCAGAAGGUUACAUGGGCCAAGCUGAGACUAGGGUUAGAAAUUAAUUUUUGCUUCCACGUGUCUGCCAGCAAUGUCUCUAGAUUCAGUCGCCAACUGUUAGAUACAUAAAAGUCCUGUAUUUUACUAGUUAUUGACUGUAAAAGCUUAUAACUGUUUGUCACUAAGAUUGAACUCAAUUGUUUCUCUGGUAACCUAUUUUUUUAAAUAUAAUUUACUCAUUUGACCAGGGCGAUAUAUUCGAAAGUUAACUAAUUUCUACUAUCAGUUGCUGAAUUUAUUUGAAAAGUCCUUUACACAACCCGUGUCCCAGCAGUGAGGCCCUUGGUAUUGAGCUAGGCAACAUCAAGCCGUGAUAUAACUGGAAUACUGUUCCAAGCAGUGUUAAACCGAACUCACUCACUUUUUUAAUUUCUAUCAAUCAAGAGCUGAACAAAUUCGAAAAAUCCUUCACACAACCCCUCUGUCCCAGUACUGAAGCCCAUGGAGUUGAGCUAGGCAACAUCGAGGUGGCUGUUUGGCAGGUAGCUAUGAUCAUAUCAUACUAGAGCUAGGCAGUCAUACAAUGCACUGGGCAUUCCCCAAUCACAGAGGUCCAUCUCCAGGGAUAUACACAACACAAGCAAAAAGCCCAAGCACUUACACGCCCUGGAAGCACUUGUCAAGUACUGCAAUAUUAAGUUCUAACAAAGGAAAUCUGCCUAACAAAUCUGCAGUUAGUGCUGGGAGCAGGUAGGUGCAUGUUUCAGCUUUAUGAGCAGGGUUAGAAAUCAACGCUAGCCUGCUAGCCCAAGGCUACUAAUUUGUAUGGGCAGGUACAUAUGCUCUUCAGCAACCCAUACUUGCCACAAGA
rnacentral:lncRNA from 1 species